rnacentral:rRNA from 1 species
AGAGUUCGAUCCUGGCUCAGGAUGAACGCUGGCGGCGCGCCUAACACAUGCAAGUCGAACGGCACCCCUCUCCGGAGGGAAGCGAGUGGCGAACGGCUGAGUAACACGUGGAGAACCUGCCCCCUCCCCCGGGAUAGCCGCCCGAAAGGACGGGUAAUACCGGAUACCCCGGGGUGCCGCAUGGCGCCCCGGCUAAAGCCCCGACGGGAGGGGAUGGCUCCGCGGCCCAUCAGGUAGACGGCGGGGUGACGGCCCACCGUGCCGACAACGGGUAGCCGGGUUGAGAGACCGACCGGCCAGAUUGGGACUGAGACACGGCCCAGACUCCUACGGGAGGCAGCAGUGGGGAAUCUUGCGCAAUGGGGGGAACCCUGACGCAGCGACGCCGCGUGCGGGACGGAGGCCUUCGGGUCGUAAACCGCUUUCAGCAGGGAAGAGUCAAGACUGUACCUGCAGAAGAAGCCCCGGCUAACUACGUGCCAGCAGCCGCGGUAAUACGUAUGGGGCGAGCGUUAUCCGGAUUCAUUGGGCGUAAAGCGCGCGUAGGCGGCCCGGCAGGCCGGGGGUCGAAGCGGGGGGCUCAACCCCCCGAAGCCCCCGGAACCUCCGCGGCUUGGGUCCGGUAGGGGAGGGUGGAACACCCGGUGUAGCGGUGGAAUGCGCAGAUAUCGGGUGGAACACCGGUGGCGAAGGCGGCCCUCUGGGCCGAGACCGACGCUGAGGCGCGAAAGCUGGGGGAGCGAACAGGAUUAGAUACCCUGGUAGUCCCAGCCGUAAACGAUGGACGCUAGGUGUGGGGGGACGAUCCCCCCGUGCCGCAGCCAACGCAUUAAGCGUCCCGCCUGGGGAGUACGGCCGCAAGGCUAAAAC